rnacentral:rRNA from 1 species
UACAGAGGUGGCAAGCGUUGUUCGGAAUUACUGGGCGUAAAGGGCGCGUAGGCGGCCUUCUAAGUCAGACGUGAAAUCCCCCGGCUUAACCUGGGAACUGCGUCUGAUACUGGAGGGCUUGAGUGUGGGAGAGGGAUGUGGAAUUCCAGGUGUAGCGGUGAAAUGCGUAGAUAUCUGGAGGAACACCGGUGGCGAAGGCGGCAUCCUGGACCGACACUGACGCUGAGGCGCGAAAGCUAGGGUAGCAAACGGG